AUGAAGGCGAUGAUGCUCAAAGGAAAGGCGCACAUGGCGGAGGAAACAGCUUUGGAGGUCUGGGGCCAUGGAAUUUCUUUCAGCUUCCUGCAGACUCUUUCUGAAAGCACCGUUCGAAGAGCUGUGGUUGACAUGUCCCCUUACCAACGAGAACUGGCUCGCCUCCGGCUAGAGCAGCUACGAGUGGAAGAGGCCUGGCUCCUGGAGCUGAAAAGGCAGCAGGAACUGGAACGCACCCGGGGACCCAAACCUAAAUGGUAUGAGAUGAGGACCUCUCAGUUCCACUACGAAGCCCACAAAAAUAAUGAACUUUUGAGAAACAGCCAAGAGAUCCAGACCAUUUCUAAUUACAGGCAGCAGCUAGCCACCGCCUCCAAAGAGUUCCAACAGGAGCCUAUUCUGACUUACCUCGAGUCCAGCGCAUAAGGAGGGAUAUUUUGUGGUCCCUGCAACUCUCUGGUGAGGAUCUGUUUGUAAGAGCUGGCAGAGGGGACAAUCGGAGAGCAUGGGUGACUGAGAGAGAUGCCACUUUUGGGAGUGUGUGCUGGCGCUGUAACCUAGCUACAGCUAAAUUUUUUGAGUGUGAGUCUGUACAGCUCUUUGUAGAAACUGGUAUAAAAUGGGAGGCAGAGUAGACCUAGCACUGAAUGUGAACAAAUUAUGCUGUUAUAGCCAUCUCUGGCUACCAGACCCAUUUGUAGAGGAAAAGGAGAAAUGGUAGAAUAAUUCAUCAAGAAGUCUUUACCCACUGGGAAUGUUUUAUUAAAUUAAACAUUAGGUUAAUUUGUUCACAUGGCAUCUGGCACCUUCUGCAUGACUCCCUUGACCUCCACUGGCUCCACCUCCUUGACCUCCACCUCCUUGACCUCCACCUCCUUGACCCUUUGUGCACCAUCUCCUUGAUCGCCUCACCUGUGAACACCCAAUCUAGAAGCCCACCAGCCACCACUGAAUGUUAUAGAAUUGCUCCAGUAACAUUGCAGAUAGGGUUGAUUGUGCCAGGGAAGCUACAAGAUGCUGGAUGUGCCAUUAAACAUUUGCAGCUUACUAUCCAAGUACAGACUGAGUCAAAUUUGGAAAUCCAUUCGCUGUCCCAUCUCUUUCAAGAUUCCAUCCGCUGAAGUGAACAAUCUUUGUCUUACCUAAUGGUUUAUUUUGUCCUCUAUUCUCCACCAGAGUCACUGGUCAGUGGGCUAGUGCAUUAUUACUGCUUCAGUACCUUUCUCAAAUGUAGAAUCUGCUUCUUCCUCUGCCCUGUCACUCUCAGUAAUUAACCACUUUUGAUGGUCCCUCCCGUUCCACAGACAUCAAACGCUAGAUUCAAGGCCUUAUCAUCCCGCCAAAUUAUGUUCCCCUUGCAGAAUCCCCCAGGAAGAAUCUCCCAACCCAAAUGGAUGAUUUCUCCUCUGUUUUAUUCACAAUCUUCCAAAGGAUGCAUUAGAGUAUGAAGGGAGGCAGUUGCUAUCACAUUAGUAAAACUGUACACAGAAGAGUUGGGUAAAAAGCGAAGCUGGCGUAGAACAAUUCAGGACGGACUACUAUGGGCAUUUUGACGUGGGAAAGACGCAAGCCAUUGACUGCAACACGUUCUCACUAAACACAGUAGCCCUUGUUAUUUACUAGUUUGUUACUCGUGAGUUUUGCAUGCAGGGGAGGGAGCAUCUGGAAUACUCCAUUGAUACCAACAAGCAAAAAAUAUAAGGGAACCUGGACAUUCGCUAAUUAGAACGUUGCCUUUUUCAGGUAAAGCGGGCAUGAAAAUGGCACUGUGCCCCAUUGUUUGUGAAUUUUUAGAAUCCAACAGGGUAGGGGGGUUCUUAAAGCAUAGCUUGCAAUCCGUAAUGGUGGUGAUGGUGCCAACAAAACCCCACAGCCAUCCUUCUCCAUUAUUCUUUUAUAUGGAAAGGGAGCUUCAAAGCCAGGGGGUACGGUCCACCUUUCUGCUGCAGUUUCUUUUUCUUUUUUUCCCAGAGGCCCAUUCUACCCUAGCUAUACCUCAUUGGCAAGGUGCACAUCAGUCUUAGCUGAUUAGGGUUUAGCAGAAUUGUGCAGAGACAAUUAGCUGCUAGGGAGAAAUAAAAUGCUCAACAGGAGAAGGUAGCCA
rnacentral:lncRNA from 1 species